UCUGUUUCAUAUUUUGAAAAAGUACAGCAUUUUCAUUUAUGAUGUUUUUUGUAACUUUAAAGUAUUCAUUGUGUGUUUUGGUCAUGGUGGCAGGACUAAUGGUAGAGCUGGUUUUCCUAGCAAUGUAAAAUAGUUUUACAUUUGUCUAUGCUUCUCAAGUGGUAUUUAAAAAGUAUUUCUGUAGUAAUAAACCAUUUCACUUCUAUGACGUCCAUCCUCUAGUGCCAUGAAAAGAAAAAUAAAACCGCUUUCAUACAUGAGCCCUGAAAACUGAAGAAUGGUUUUCUGAAUUCAGAUUGAGUCUGAAUAAUGAGGGGACGAAGCUGGCUAUCUCCACUUUUCAUUUCUCUCCCUACCCAUAAAUAAAUAAACAAACAAAUAAAUCCAUUUUCCUUCAAAUCUGAGCAGCCAGCAAUUCUUUUUGACAUAUAAAUUGUAUGCCAAAUGUAUUGAUACAUUAACAUCUUAUGGACUACAAAACAUAUUAGGUAUUUAAGAAUUAAAAAUCAGGGAUGCCUGGGUGGCUUAGCCGUUGGGCGCCUGCCUUCCGCUCAGGUGGUGAUCCCGGGAUCCAGGAUCAAGUUGUGCAUCGGGCUCCCUGUGAGGAGCCUGCUUCUCCCUCCGCCUAUGUCUCUGCCUCUCUCAGCCAGUAUCUCUCAUGAAUGAAUAAAUAAAUCUUUAAAAAAAAAGAAUUAAAAAUCAAAUACAGUAUUCACAAAGUCUAUUUUUGUGUGUGUUUAGUUUUUAUCAACUUUUCCAUCCUAAAAUUACUUAUGUUUAUACAUACGUGUAUUUUGCCCAGGAUUUUAUCAGAAUGCUUUUUGACUGGCCAAGUUCAGGGGGAAAUGACUUGGGGAGAAAACUUCUGCUGUCUUUCCCAAAGUGUGCUUCACAAGAUGUUGGGAGUUGUUAGUAUGAAAUAAGAUCUAUGUGUUUUCUGAUCAUAAGUUUGGGAAACAUGGGGUUUGACAAAAUGCAAAGGCUCUACUGUCAAGUGGGAGAUAUUUUUCCUAAAGGUCAUUGGCCACAGAACCUUCUUUCUCAUGGAGCUCAUGUGUUAGAGAACAUGUUUGGUCCUGCCAGCUUACGGCCUGCCCAGAACUGGGUCUAUAGGAGUGCACAAAUUUGGGGGCACCACCCAUGGAAGCUUCUUACUUUGUUAUAUUACAGGUUCCCCCAAAUGUCGGUAUGACUUGGAGUCAUUGUCAUGACCCAUUAAUUGUAGGGCUUUAUAAGUAGACUAAUAUAUUUGUGCUUCUUACAUGUGCCCUUCAUCAUUGAGAGUAAGUACACAGGCAUUUCUUGGGGGCUUUACGUAUCUAUAUGGCUGCCUUCUCAGAAACCCAUUAAGGAAAGGAGGAAUCAUUAUAUUUUAAAGGAGACAAUUAAGGGGCUUCCCUAUAAUUCUGUCCCCAUUGUGUGUGGUCUGGACCAUCGCAUUUGAAUUCACACUGCUCAUCGGUGAGGGUGUAAUUGAUCGAUAGGUCAACGAAUUUCUAAAAUUAUCUCCUCUACAUGUAUUUUCAAGGCAAAAUAUAUUGGUUCUGUGUAUUCAUCCUCAAAACCCUUCAGAUGUGUGUUAACACUUAGAGCUUUGGAUGUCAAGACAUUGGCUUCUAGUCGUAUGGUUAACACAAACAGUGCCUGGUAACUUUUGGGCGAUGGAUUCACUGACAGGAGGCAUAUCCAGGGCUGUUUCACCACCUUCCGUGGAGCAUAUGUUUUGAUUCAGUGAGGUCACUGAUGCUAGAUUUUAACAUCAGAAUCUUCUCAGUGAGAUGAAAUUGGUGAUUCACCUUGGCUCGUACCUCAGACAUGUGGGUAUAGGAUAAAUGCUUUCUUAAUGGUAGUUCAGGGCAGCCAAUUCUUUGAUCUGCCUGAACUUAUUGGCUCUCUUACCAUUGA
rnacentral:lncRNA from 1 species